rnacentral:rRNA from 1 species
CCUACGGGAGGCAGCAGUGAGGAAUAUUGGUCAAUGGACGAGAGUCUGAACCAGUCAAGUAGCGUGAAGGAUGACUGCCCUAUGGGUUGUAAACUUCUUUUAUAAAGGAAUAAAACGAGGCACGUGUGCCCUUUUGCAUGUACUUUAUGAAUAAGGAUCGGCUAACUCCGUGCCAGCAGCCGCGGUAAUACGGAGGAUCCGAGCGUUAUCCGGAUUUAUUGGGUUUAAAGGGAGCGUAGAUGGGUUGUUAAGUCAGUUGUGAAAGUUUGCGGCUCAACCGUAAAAUUGCAAUUGAUACUGGCAGUCUUGAGUACAGUUGAGGUAAGCGGAAUUCGUGGUGUAGCGGUGAAAUGCUUAGAUAUCACGAAGAACCCCGAUUGCGAAGGCAGCUUACUAAACUGUGACUGACAUUGAUGCUCGAAAGUGUGGGUAUCAAACAGGAUUAGAUACCCCUGUAGUC